rnacentral:rRNA from 1 species
UACGUAGGGUGCGAGCGUUAAUCGGAAUUACUGGGCGUAAAGCGUGCGCAGGCGGUUUUGUAAGACAGAUGUGAAAUCCCCGGGCUUAACCUGGGAACUGCGUUUGUGACUGCAAGGCUAGAGUACGGCAGAGGGGGGUGGAAUUCCUGGUGUAGCAGUGAAAUGCGUAGAGAUCAGGAGGAACACCGAUGGCGAAGGCAGCCCCCUGGGCCUGUACUGACGCUCAUGCACGAAAGCGUGGGGAGCAAACAGGAUUAGAUACCCUGGUAGUCCACGCCCUAAACGAUGUCGACUAGUCGUUCGGAGCAGCAAUGCACUGAGUGACGCAGCUAACGCGUGAAGUCGACCGCCUGGGGAGUACGGCCGCAAGGUUA